UACGGAGGAGGCAAUCGGUAUCCGGAAUUAUUGGGCGUAAAGCGUCCGUAGGUGGCCAUACAAGUCUGCUGUCAAAGCAUGGAGCUUAACUCCAUAGAGGCAGUGGAAACUGAAUAGCUAGAGUUCGGUAGGGGUAGCGGGAAUUCCCAGUGUAGCGGUGAAAUGCGUAGAGAUUGGGAAGAACAUCGGUGGAGAAAGCGCGCUUCGGGGGCGAAACUGACCCUGAGGGAUGAAAGCUAGGGGAGCGAAAGGG
rnacentral:rRNA from 1 species